AGUUUCGCUUUCAUUUAUCAGGAAGAAGCAGCGUUCAGAGCCAGCUGAAGGAAGAAGACUCAAAAUGUCAGCCAAUGACCCAGUUGAGCCCAUGGAUUGGCAGAAUGAGUCAACAUCUCAAUAUACAUCUGCUGGGGGACCUAAAAACAGUCAUUCG